GGGAAAUCUUACCGGGUCCGGACACACUGAGGAUUGACAGGUGUUUCGUAAAGUAAGGUUGUUUUGUAUUUUUUUUACUAUUUAUUUAGUGGGAAUUUUAUAAGAUAGCUUUUUCAUUUACAUUUCAAAUAUGCUAGUCCUUUCAUGAUUGUGUGAUAGGUGGUGCAUGGCCGUUCUUAGUUCGUGGAGUGAUCUGUCUGCUUAAUUGCGUUUCACUUAUGGCGUGACUGUGUUAUUAUGGUUCUUUCGUGACCUCAUUUUUCAUUCAUUUGGAAUUUGACGCGUCCGGUUCUAUGUGCACAUCAUAGCCACGAAGGCAACGA
rnacentral:rRNA from 1 species